GCCCCGGUAGCUCAACUGGAUAGAGCAGUCCCGUCCUAAGGGAAAGGUUGUAGGUUCAACUCCUGCCCGGGGUACCA
rnacentral:tRNA from 1 species